rnacentral:ncRNA from 1 species
CUAUGUUGACAUGGCAAAGGAA